rnacentral:rRNA from 1 species
CCUACGGGUGGCUGCAGUGGGGAAUAUUGGACAAUGGGGGGAACCCUGAUCCAGCCAUGCCGCGUGUGUGAAGAAGGCCCUCGGGUUGUAAAGCACUUUCAGUGAGGAAGAACGCCUGGUGGUUAAUACCCAUCAGGAAAGACAUCACUCACAGAAGAAGCACCGGCUAACUCCGUGCCAGCAGCCGCGGUAAUACGGAGGGUGCGAGCGUUAAUCGGAAUUACUGGGCGUAAAGCGCGCGUAGGUGGCUUGAUAAGCCGGUUGUGAAAGCCCCGGGCUCAACCUGGGAACGGCAUCCGGAACUGUCAAGCUAGAGUGCAGGAGAGGAAGGUAGAAUUCCCGGUGUAGCGGUGAAAUGCGUAGAGAUCGGGAGGAAUACCAGUGGCGAAUGCGGCCUUCUGGACUGACACUGACACUGAGGUGCGAAAGCGUGGGUAGCAAACAGGAUUAGAUACCCUUGUAGUC